GUGAUGCAGCAAUAAUACUCAAACUACAAAUACUAAAAAAAAUGUAAAUUAAUACGUAAAAACAAGAGCUAUUGAGUACAUUCACGGCCGUCUACUACUGUAUCAACAAUAAUACUAGGCCAUGGUACAGUAGAUGCAUCAAUCCACACACACCGUAAAUAAAUAAAGUGUUUUCCUUUGCCUGGAAAUUUCAUAAUAAAGGUAUCGACGGCAUUAACACUGACGAAAAGAAAGGAAAAAUCGGAAUGAAAAAUAAGAUUCCGAUGCUGGUGUUAACCCUGACCGCUCUUUUGUACGCGAAUGCAGCUAUCAGAAUAAGAAAACGCAUGAAUGUCAUGAUCGCUAUUGUUCAAAGCCAUUUUGAGGUAUUUUCAAAAAAGGAUACGUACUAGUUGCGAAUAUAAGUAAAACAGAAUCCUGAUUUAGAGCCUCGGGAAUUUACUUAUUGAAUUUUACGGCAGCGUCGCUUGUAGCCCAAGAAUCGGAUCAAAUCGCUGAAGACCAAGACUAGAUAUGGCCAUAAUUUCUGGACCAUCACUGCUCUGAAUCUGUUUGGCAGUUGCUUGUGCCCAAGAACUUGAUGAUGAGCAAAGAACUCCGGUAUCGUUUUCUGCUAUAGCAGCAAUCCCAACUGUUGCAAUACCAUCUUCUAAGCCAGGUCAAGGAAAGACAAACCAACAUUCACAUGUUCAGAGUCAGAGAUGAGAUAGAGAUAGAGAGAAACAUCAGGAAUGCAGUCAGAAAUUAUCACCUAGAUCACCACUUAAAGGAUGAAUCAAAAUAUUAAUUGGUUUAACCGCGACCUUAUUAUACCCGGAGCGUGAUUGAGAAACCAUCUAUUUGCCGACGACAUCGCUCUCCAUAACGACGUUCCAGAUAAUUUACGAAUGAUUGUAUAGGAGUUAAACAAAGUUGGAAGCUGGGUACUCACUAAAGAAAACAACAAAAAAUAAAUAUGGUCCACGGGCCAGUUGAAAAAGGACUGGCAGGAUUUACUUUUCAUGAUUGAAAAACUCAUAUUACAUUAGAUAAUAUUCCAAACAUAGUAGCUGUCUUGAGUCUAGUGUUGACAAUAAUUGUUCCACAACAAUACAUGUAUACUUCAUAUCAAUCUAUUCCUAAGUCAAGACAACGCUAGAAUUGUAAUCCACAAUUAGCUUCGAGACCCAUAUUACAGCAAAAUUAUUUUGUCAUUAUUAAAAUUAUUAGAUUUUUUAUAUAUAUACUUACGGUGUUGUUUCCAACUAUAUU